UCCUACGGGAGGCAGCAGUGGGGAAUAUUGCACAAUGGGCGCAAGCCUGAUGCAGCCAUGCCGCGUGUAUGAAGAAGGCCUUCGGGUUGUAAAGUACUUUCAGCAGUGAGGAAGGUGGGUAUGUUAAUAGCAUAUUCAUUUGACGUUAGCUGCAGAAGAAGCACCGGCUAACUCCGUGCCAGCAGCCGCGGUAAUACGGAGGGUGCGAGCGUUAAUCGGAAUUACUGGGCGUAAAGCGCAUGCAGGUGGUUUGUUAAGUCAGAUGUGAAAGCCCGGGGCUCAACCUCGGAAUUGCAUUUGAAACUGGCAAACUAGAGUACUGUAGAGGGGGUAGAAUUUCAGGUGUAGCGGUGAAAAUGCGUAGAGAUCUGAAGGAAUACCGGUGGCGAAGGCGGCCCCCUGGACAGAUACUGACACUCAGAUGCGAAAGCGUGGGGAGCAAACAGGAUUAGAUACCCUGGUAG
rnacentral:rRNA from 1 species